GGAAGGGCUGCUUCUGAUACUUAUGUUGUAACUAGGCUUAGCUUUAGACUCUUGCGAUAUCUCGGGGUAGGGUACAGAUGGAUCGUCAGGUUUCUUGCCCUUGGCUGUUAUGCUAUGCUGCUUAUACCUGGUUUUAUUCAAGUUGGAUAUUACUAUUUCUAUUCCAGUCAAGUACGUAGAGGGAUUGUUUAUGGUGAUCAACCAAGAAAUAGGCUUGAUUUGUAUUUACCAAAAA
rnacentral:misc_RNA from 1 species